CCCUCAGACUUACUAGCUCGAUCCACGAAAAACUAUUAGGUGAGACUGACUCUAUAACAAGUUUCUUGGCAUCUUCACCUUUUGAUGCAAACCAUAAAACUUACUUAGGUGAAGGAAAUUGGUUACUCAGUGCGAUAAUAUCUUUUUAUUGUUUUUUAAUUUAGAUUUUAAGGAGGACUUUUUGCAUACUUCAACCUUUCCACCUAUACCCGC
rnacentral:lncRNA from 1 species